rnacentral:rRNA from 1 species
UACGGAGGGGGCAAGCGUUGUUCGGAAUUACUGGGCGUAAAGGGCGCGCAGGCGGCUGCUCAAGUCAGGCGUGAAAGGCCUGGGCUCAACCCGGGAAUUGCGCUUGAGACUGGGCUGGCUUGAGUGCGGGAGAGGAUGGUGGAAUUCCCAGUGUAGAGGUGGAAUUCGUAGAUAUUGGGAAGAACACCGGUGGCGAAGGCGGCUCUCUGGACCGAUACUGACGCUGAGGAGCGAAAGCGUGGGGAGCGAACAGG